CCUGGGAUUUUGAUGGAGCCCUUGCACUGUUUCUUUUGCGCGGGGUGGUUGUCCGUGUAGGGUGGAGAGAGACUAGGGAGGGCUUAGGUGCCCUUGAGGGUGUCCCCAGUCCCAGGUUCCUCUGGGGGCAGGAUGGUAAGCAAACGGCAGGGUGGAUGUGCCUGCAGCCUGCAUGCUGGACCCCACAGGGGUCUCCCGUGCCGUCUGGCCCCUGAGAGCCUGCCGUCAUGAUCUGGUUUGACGUGGUUUUGAGUAACUUCCGUCUCCCAGAGGAUACCAGGGCCCUUUCAUUCACAAACAUGAUCUGAGUUGUUUUCCAGGAAGGGCUGGGAACAUUCUAGGAGAUGCUGAGGGUGUACCUGUUGGGUGAACUGGUGUUCUGCUUAGGGUCUGAGGACACCUGCCUUCACAUUGAAAAUGCAUGUCUGUGUCUUGGAUUAUUUUUUGUGUGGGGAAAAGUGUCAAAUAAAGAGGAGUCUUUAAAUAGUUGAUUCAGAAAUGUUAGAGAUUUAAUUGAAGAGCUUGUCUACAUUUUUAUAUUUCCCUUAGGGACAUAGAAACUAACAUCUUUCUCUGGGAUGCUUUUGAAAUUUACGUUCAAUUCUGUUCAAUGGCUUGUUUGAGGACUGUCAGAUGCAAUGGGUGGUAAUGCUGAACUUUUCUUGCUGUGCAUUUUGCUCCAAGUAGGCUCUUGGGCAGCCCUCCCUGCCUAGAGUCGAUUAACCUUGUGUGUCCGUGACCUCUUUACCCAUCAGUGUAUCUUGUAUGCACUGCAUGGUACUGGGGUGAUGGCUUUAUCUUUCCCUCACUGCCUGGUUACAGGGGUUCUUUAAGAGCAGGGGACAUGUUCUUUUGUUUCCCUAGUGUCUGGCAAAGUGCCUGGCACAUAGUAGGUGGUCAUUAAGACAGAUGGGGUUGAGUUGACGUUACAAGGAUUUUAGAGGAUCGGACUAGUUUGACUUCAAAGGGAGAUAAAGUGCCUUUUCAAGGGUGCACCUCAGUGAUUCCUCAAGUGAUCUGGAUGUUUACUUUAGGAUUCAAAAAGUAAAGUGUUCCAUUUAGUAAACUAAGUCUUUCUCAAUCUGAUGUUAUCCUGUUGUGUUGACUCUCCUCUGGAUUUGGGGGCCGUUCCCGCUUACAAGGCAGGGAGGGGGCUGGCUGGUCCCCCGGCUUCCGCAGAUGGACAUGUGCUCCUGUGGGCACUGUCCAGCCGGGCUACCGCGUGUUCACUGCCGUCAGUUUCUGAGGGAUGAGGUAAUCUUAGCUCAGCUUAGUUUCAUAUACAGUAGUUUUGCUCGUUGAGGAAAUUGUUGUCUAUUGAAGUUUUUAAGAUGUAAGGGAUGUUAUGAACUGCAAUCAAGUGGGUAUCCUCUCAUGUAAGUGCAUCUGACAAGCCAAUUUCACAAGCACAUCUCAUCAGUCACAGUUGGAUGGCAACGUUUAUUGUUUAAAGUUUUUUGUUUUGUGUGUGUGUGUAUGUGUGAGUUGAGUAUGGAAGGGAAGCCUCUAUAUAGAAACCAAAUGCUUUCAGAGGCUAAGAAAUGGCACGAAGGCAUGGAUGUUUAGACAUCUGGACAUAAUUUCUCAUUUCUCUUACUCUCUUUCUUCUUGGUCUCAGGGACACUGAGACAGCUGUUCAUUGAACUCCUUGUUCAAAAUAUCGAGCUGUGAUGAGAUGCGAGUGUUGUGACCACCUGGUGGGUGUGGAUCCCGGAAUAGCUCUGCAGGCUGAGGAGGCCACUUGGAGCAGCAUCUUUACCAGCCCGGCCUCUGAGCUGAGCCAAGCGCUUUUGUUCAUUUGCAAACAGUGCUGCCCAGCCCUUAGCCAGUUGUUAAAUCACUUUGGAUGUGUUGACAGCCUCCAAAAAGUCACAACUUAAAAAAAAGUUCAAGCUUGGAAAAAAGGUAAGGAAAUGAUCUCCUAGGGAGACAACUUCUGCCUAAAAAAUGAAAGCUUUAAAGACACAAAUUCUAUGUUAUAAACAACUUGUAAUUUUGAUCUUUUUCAGUUGUAGCUCCAGCAGCCUCUACGAUAGAUCUAAAUAUGUUUAUCACAGCUGGAAAAAUGUUUUAUUGUCAUCCUUGUUUAUCAUAAUAUGCCACCUACUCUGGUUGUGUCUUACUGUAGCUCUGCUCCAUUGUUUUAUGUGUUUUCAUAGAAGGGGGGCAGAUGAAUGUAAACUACACCUAGAAAUUGAAACAGGGAAGGAAAAAAACACGAUGUAUUCAGCCAGCGCUCUUUCCAGGUUCUAGACGUCAGCUGGCAGCCUCUAAGCUGUGGUUUAUUGAAUAAUACUUAAUCCUUAGCACAGCCCUCAGUGAAGAUCUUUUUAUGGCCUUUUCUGAAUGUUUUACAAACAUAACUAGAGCUUAUCCAGAUGAGAGCAGGGAGCGUUUUUAUUUUCUUUUUUAGAAGGAGCAAAUUUAGCCAUUGGGAUGCGACCAUUUAGUGACUAGGAGGGGAAUUGCACUUGGAGGAGCUCCUCCCUAUGCUGACAGUGUGCGUGGGGUUUGGCCUCGGUAAACCUGGGCUUGCAUUCCACCCAGUCUUAAUACUUAGUGACUGAUUUGCAGCAAAUUAAUGUAGCCCCCCUGAGCUUCUAGAUGUUUGGGAUACCCUGGUGAAAGAUGGGUCCCACAGUAUGCAUUCCACAUAUACAUUUUUUUCUUCCUUUUCUUAUCCUCCAAACUUGAAAUCUUUCCUGUGUGAUUUUUCAGAGCUUUGAUUUUUGCCCUGCCACUCUGCAGAUAAUUGGGUGCCAUUUGCUAACAUAAUUUGAAAAUUGCAAAUUCAUUUUAAUAAUAUCUUAGGCCAAGUAUAAUGAGGAAAGUCAGUUUUAUGGCCCCAAAUCAUAUUACAAAGCUAAAUGGAAACCAGUUUUAGAUGAUUCUAAUUUAUCCAUUUCUUGGCCAUUCCACCCGAUGUACCGGCUGAUCUGGGUACCCACUGACUUGACCCUGAUGGUUUGGGUAGGAGGAGAGAGGAGAGAUGCGUGAACCACAGUUAGUGGCUGAUGUUGUGUUUGUCAGUCAUUGCCUGAUAUUGCUGAGACCCGCUACUCCUUAGACCUGGGUUGGGUGGGCCUUUGUGAAAGACAGACAAUAAAUACAGUCUCUGCCACCCAGGGGCUCAUGGUCCAGUAGCGAGUGAGCCCCUAAACCCUCAGGCAGAUGGAUGCUGUCAGGGUCCCAUGGCUGAGCAGAGAGGGAAGGGUCAAGUUGGCAGCAAGCUGAGUGUUGAAGGCUGGUGUGGAGAAAAUGAGUGUUUUGCCUGAAGGAGCUCCUGGGAAGCCUGUGUACCUGAUGUCCUGGAGUUUGGGACCCUGAGGUGGCUCCAGGUACUGUCCAUGGAAGGGGAGUCCAGGAGCUGAGGCUGGCGACGUUGGCACAGUCGGACCACAAGGGCUCCAGGGAGGUUAGGUUUUGUCUGGAAGGCCCAGGGAGCCUUUGGAGGACUUGAAAUGGAAGAAAGGGCACCGUCAGAUUGGCAUUUCAGGAGCAGGUAGCAGGUGUGUUGCGGUCAGUCAGCCAGGACCCAGCCCCCAGCCAGGUGCUGUGGGGUCAUCAGGGAAGAGGUGGCCGCGGCCGCCAGGACUUGGCAUCCGUGCCAUUUGGCUCCAAGGCUGUCAUCGUGUGAUGGUUAAAUGUGGACAAAGGACUAGAUCUCUGAGAAGUCACGGCUGCAGAGCUGUGCCUCAUUUUGUCUUUGCCCUCUCUGGCUUCGUGGGGAAGGCUGCAGCCACUCACCUCUCAGCCCGAGACACAGCUCCUGUGGCCCCCGCCUGGCUCAGGGCGGACUCAGCAGACGAGGACACGGGCAUGGCGCCCCGGCGGUCUGUUCUUGUGGAGCCUCGCAGGCGCCGUGGCUCUGUGUUCCAGAAGGUGGUGGGCGCUGCAGCAGAGGGCCCUGGGUCCCGCCGGCUGAGGGCUCGGCGUGCCUGCUCGGUGUUGGGGGGAACGAGGUGGCCGCGGCCUGAGCCGCCUGUGUGUUCUCUGGUGACCUGAGCACGGAUUCUUGCUUCAUGAGCAGAGUGCAGGGUGUGGACUGGGCCUCCAGCCCUGGCCCGGGUUCCUGCAGGGCAGUUGUGCAGAGCUCUCAUUCAGGCUUACUACGCAGACUGAUACUGGGGGGGGUGUUAGGAUGCUCCUGUUUCACGGAUGUACCAUUGUGCAGAGUUGGCACAUAUGGGAAUGAUGUUAUAAUGCUUUUUUUUUGGGCGGGGGCAAGGCUUACCUCUGCUGGGUGAGCUGCUUGUUCUCUGGAAACAUCUCUGCUUGGCGUCAUGAGAUGAGGGCUGCUUUUCUGCCCUGCCACCAGCUACUGGGGGGAUUUCGAGAAAGCCAUCUGAUUCCCUGCACCUCAGUUGAUUUGUCUGUGAAGCAGUGUUAUAUUCAAUAGAUGCUAAAGACCCAAGAGUACUUGGUUAGUGAUCUGUGGCUCAGGAGACCCAAAGAUGAGGGCUCUUCUUGAAAUUGCAUGCAGAGUCUCUCUGAGUGUAGGCUUUUGGAGAAAAGACCCCGGUUUAUAUCAGGGAGGGACCCCAAUCCUCGAAAAGAAACCACGAUUAACCUCCAAGGCUCCCUUGAAGCCCCCCAGCUUCCAUGCAAUAGCA